UUUUUUUUUUUUUUUUUUUUUUUUUUGGCUAGAGUUAUCUUCCUUGACAAAUAUUCUUCUUCAUACAAAGGUCUCUUAUUUUGACUUACGUUUAUUAGAUAAAAGCAUGAUAUCAGGGUCAUUUAUUAAAGAUGUGACGGUUUAGACGAACCAAUUUUUAGGGCAAAUUUCUCAUUGAAAUAAGUUUUUUUGAACUUGAAAAAACAAAAAACAGACUCUCCAGGAUUGCUCAAAUUAACAUCCUUACUGGAAAUUUCAGGGGUUUUUUUCCCCUACAAUUCCUUUUAUUUCACAUCAAAUUUCCUUUACAUACAAUUCUAGUCUUUAUUUGGAAUCAAAAUCACAUGUAUUUCACUCAGUUCUGGGUCUUUUAUUCUAUUUUCAACUUUACCAAGGGGAAGAACUCUGCUGGAAACAGUGAUGGGAAGAGGGCAGUUUUUGUUCACUCAUUUCAAGAUAUAAUUAACAAUAACUCCCCAUGUAUGAUACAUCAUUUUAUUCGGAAAAACUUAAAUUUUUAAACAGUAUAGGUAUUUCAUGAUGUCGUAGAAUUUCCGCAGUCUUUAAAGUCUCAAUAUACCUGGCGAAUUGCCAAUACGAAGCUAAAGUGACCAGGGUUAAAAUGUAAAUAUGUUAAAAGAGUAUUUUAUAGAAUUUAAAUAGUUUCAUUGUUAUUGAUAUCUGUAUUAAUAUAGGGAGGUGACCAUUCUACAUUGAUCCAGUGCCUUUUUAUGGGAUUCGAAACUGUGACUGUGAGAUGUAUGAGAGUUUGACUUCUAGGCGGGCAAUUCUACUUUCACUUUAAACGGAUGGCAGGUGCCUGAGUGUAUCUCGACCCAUUUCCAGGCUAGCAUCAGAUGUCAUGAUGGACCUUUAAAAUCUUUCACAUGUGUACUUUCAAGAACCAUAUAAAUUAUUUUUGAAAAUUGGUUGCCAUGGUAAUAAAAUCUGAAAAUUAAAA